rnacentral:rRNA from 1 species
GCGAACGCUGGCGGCAGGCCUAACACAUGCAAGUCGAACGAACUCUUCGGAGUUAGUGGCGGACGGGUGAGUAACACGUGGGAACGUGCCUUUAGGUUCGGAAUAACUCAGGGAAACUUGAGCUAAUACCGGAUGUGCCCUUCGGGGGAAAGAUUUAUCGCCUUUAGAGCGGCCCGCGUCUGAUUAGCUAGUUGGUGAGGUAAAGGCUCACCAAGGCGACGAUCAGUAGCUGGUCUGAGAGGAUGAUCAGCCACAUUGGGACUGAGACACGGCCCAAACUCCUACGGGAAGCAGCAGUGGGGAAUCUUGCGCAAUGGGCGAAAGCCUGACGCAGCCAUGCCGCGUGAAUGAUGAAGGUCUUAGGAUUGUAAAAUUCUUUCACCGGGGACGAUAAUGACGGUACCCGGAGAAGAAGCCCCGGCUAACUUCGUG